rnacentral:tmRNA from 1 species
GGGCUGGCGUUGGGGAAGGCGAGCCACUAUAUUGGUCGCUGUCGGGUAACCGACUAUGGCGCUAAACGCUAUACGGAAUAGGCGUUGUGGACCCGGGGGCGGUACCCGGCGCCUCCACCAUUUCCCGGUUCAGGGGGACCGGCGCAUGGGGGCGAAACAGGAUCGACACGCGUAGUAAAGGUAUGGUUUGCGCUCGGUAUGAUACCGCCGUUAUCGGGUCACACUCACAAGUGCCAACGACAACGAGGCACUCGCUCUCGCUGCAUAAGCGUUAGCGCGGUUCGGGAGGCACCGGGCAACAGAAGCCUCCCACU